GCGCGGGCCCUGUGCGACAAGACGUCGUGAACCAUGUCAGGCGGGGAACCGAGCAGCAUUAAGCGGCCUAUUGUGCGCCGCAGCAAGCCUGUUCAUC
rnacentral:SRP_RNA from 1 species